rnacentral:rRNA from 1 species
CAUGCAAGUCGGACGGUAGCACAGAGGAGCUUGCUCCUCGGGUGACGAGUGGCGGACGGGUGAGUAAUGUCUGGGAAACUGCCCGAUGGAGGGGGAUAACUACUGGAAACGGUAGCUAAWACCGCAUAACGUCGCAAGACCAAAGUGGGGGACCUCCGGGCCUCACACCAUCGGAUGUGCCCAGAUGGGAUUAGCUUGUAGGCGGGGUAACGGCCCACCUAGGCGACGAUCCCUAGCUGGUCUGAGAGGAUGACCAGCCACACUGGAACUGAGACACGGUCCAGACUCCUACGGGAGGCAGCAGUGGGGAAUAUUGCACAAUGGGCGCAAGCCUGAUGCAGCCAUGCCGCGUGUAUGAAGAAGGCCUUCGGGUUGUAAAGUACUUUCAGCGGGGAGGAAGGUGUUGAGGUUAAUAACCUCAGCAAUUGACGUUACCCGCAGAAGAAGCACCGGCUAACUCCGUGCCAGCAGCCGCGGUAAUACGGAGGGUGCAAGCGUUAAUCGGAAUUACUGGGCGUAAAGCGCACGCAGGCGGUCUGUUAAGUCAGAUGUGAAAUCCCCGGGCUUAACCUGGGAACUGCAUUUGAAACUGGCAGGCUUGAGUCUCGUAGAGGGGGGUAGAAUUCCAGGUGUAGCGGUGAAAUGCGUAGAGAUCUGGAGGAAUACCGGUGGCGAAGGCGGCCCCCUGGACGAAGACUGACGCUCAGGUGCGAAAAGC